rnacentral:piRNA from 1 species
UCACGAAACAAGAUUUAGGUA